rnacentral:rRNA from 1 species
AGAUUGAACUGAAGAGUUUGAUCCUGGCUCAGAUUGAACGCUGGCGGCAUGCUUUACACAUGCAAGUCGAACGGCAGCGCGGGCUUCGGCCUGGCGGCGAGUGGCGAACGGGUGAGUAAUAUAUCGGAACGUACCCAAGAGUGGGGGAUAACGUAGCGAAAGUUACGCUAAUACCGCAUACGAUCUAAGGAUGAAAGCAGGGGAUCUUCGGACCUUGUGCUCCUGGAGCGGCCGAUAUCUGAUUAGCUAGUUGGUGAGGUAAAGGCUCACCAAGGCAACGAUCAGUAGCUGGUCUGAGAGGACGACCAGCCACACUGGAACUGAGACACGGUCCAGACU